rnacentral:rRNA from 1 species
AUUGAACGCUGGCGGCAGGCCUAACUCAUGCAAGUCGAACGAGUGGCGUACGGGUGAGUAAUGUCUGGGAAACUGCCUGAUGGAGGGGGAUAACUAUUUGAAACUGUCGCUAAUACCGCAUACCAUCAGAUGUGCCCAGAUGGGAUUAGCUAGUUGGUGGGGUAACGGCUCACCAAGGCGACGAUCCCUAGCUGGUCUGAGAGGAUGACAAGCAAAACUGGAACAGAGAAACGGUCCAGACUCAUACGGAAGGCAGCAGUGGGGAAUAUUGCAAAAUGGGCGAAAGACUGAUGAAGCAAUGCCGGGUGUAUGAAGAAGGCCUUCGGGUUGUAAAGUACUUUCAGCGGGGAGGCGUUACCCGCAGAAGAAGCACCGGCUAACUCCGUGCCAGCAGCCGCGGUAAUAC